ensembl:lncRNA
GCCAUUUUGAAUUUAAAAAAAAAAGGGACGCCUUAUAAACACUCGGCUACACGUUUUACCCGUGGCCUUGCUUCUGCCCAGAUAAACCGGGAUAUGUUUGCCCCAUGAUGUAAAGUGGGAUUGAGGGAUUCUGACUGGUAGUAAUAAAAAGAGGUAGAGCAGCUUUGACAGUACAUUCAUUUUUACCACCUCAAUUAUUGAACUAAAAUCCAAUACUAGUGUUACCAUUUUGUUAUAUCUUUCUGUAUCCUGUCAUUUCUUGUAUUGUAGUUUGGUUCAUAUAUUUUAUUUAUUUAUCGAGUAAGUGACACACCCAGGUAUUUUAUUGAUUUUGUAUGCCACUCCAGUUUAUAUGUCUGCCUGAAAGACCGCGAACAAAAUUGGAAGCCCGGUUGGGGACACCUGGAAGGAUUCAGCCAAACGACUUCUGUCGUUCUGGUAGAUUUAUUUGUCAGAUCACAGGUCAAGUAUAAGCUCUGCAUUUGCAAAGGCUGGAGCAGUUCUGUCGGCCUGCAGGCCGGAAGAACAACUGACUAACAUCAGGAAAAACUCGCCUUCAACUCCUCUCCGCGAUCACCAACUUUCGGCCAGUCCGCAGACAGACGAGAAGAAGCUGCUGAAUGCUCUCAGUGGAUCGUCUCGUCACUCCAACAACAAACUGCCGAUAUCAACGAGCGGUUCGCUCCAUUGGAGCGUUCGGGACUCUCCGGGUUUCUGUCCAUAGAGGAGAGGAUGGCGGCUCUGAAGGAACCGACUCAAAGAAGAGGAGACGGGCGCACAAUCCCAAGAUAGCGGAAGCGGUGUGCCGUCUUCACAACUCCGAGACAAAUUACAGGCGCAACGAACCGGAGAAAGGACUAAUCUCGCCUCAUGAGUCGGUGACCUCGUAUUUGCUCCGGGAAAAGUCCAGAUUUAGACGACGUCAUUGUGUUCGCCUGUGAGACGUAUUUUGAAACGGUACGCAGGAGCUUCAGGUUCAGCCGGAACACUCAUUGCGGGCGGAAGCUGCGAAGGAUUCAGUGGGGAGUCGAGCGAGAAGAAAGAGGCUGCUGGAAUCGAGACAAAGUGUGCUGGCUGAUGACGAGGUGGAACUCUGGAAAUCCGCCACCGUAGAGCUCACGUCGGACGGAGAGGAUGGCGUUGUUGGCGGGGUCUCGGGUUGGAUUGUACGGUGCAGUCCCGGUGGGAGGCAACUCAGAAAAACAGAGCCACACACACUAGGCGCCUGCACAACAGACCUACCUCGUAAAACACGGCGCCAGUGACAGUCUACAACCCCGAGGAGGCAAACGGACAGUUUACUGAGCUGUAGUUUUUUAAACCGCCUUUACCCAAGUGUGGGCAGAUCCUCACUUUGUAUGUAGUUGUUGUUUGUAUGUUGUUAAUAAAGCUCUUUCUUUGC